AUAGUUUUGGUGAGUAUUUUCUAUCCGACCAGUGGCUUCUAUCCGAACAGUGGAAGCUGGACAGCCACGGCUGACUGUUGUUCUGUUGGCGGGCCAGCGCCGCCUCCCACCGGCCACCAUACGAUGACGGCCGCCGGAGACCGAGCACCGGUACCACCGGACAAAAAGUGGAAUCGGCAAGGCCGGGCUAGCGACUGUCUGCAGAUCGGCAGAGAAGAGCUGAGCUGCACCUACGCUGCAGGGCAACUACCGACUGCAGUGGCUUUACCUGUUUUUGUGUGACCAGCGAGGAAUAAAACGGGCGCGAGACGGAGCAGCGAGACACUCCUCACACAGUCCACACCACGUUCGACAACACCCACUCUGCAACACUCCACUCAACAUGCACAACCUGCCCGCCAUCAUGACGCUGACCAGGGAGCCGAUUGGCUCGGCUUGGCGGCAGCAGGCUGUUCUUUCGGCACUCUUCCGGCCUCUCCAAUAUCGGCACACUCGAGUGCGAUAGCAACUCGAGUGGGACUGAUUUUCGGUCUUCUUUCGACACUCUUCCGUCUUCUUCGAUAUCAGCCUGUGCUAAUGCAACGGCUAUUCGUGCAGGACUGAUUUUCGGCCUUGUCUCGUUUAAUGACUCGAUCGCUUCCUUUUGACAUUUUGGUUUCGACCUCAUCUUUUGGCUCAUUUCAAUAUAUCUACUUUUAACUCAUGUUCACGUCUGUAUGGUGGAUGGUGUUGGGAACGAAGGAGGGAAAGGAACCAGAAACACACACAUAUCGAUCGCGUUUUCAUCAGUAAUACCCCUAGACAGCACAUAGAGUAAAAGAUUGAAGAAUAUAAUCCCCUAGACAACAGAUAAAUAAUCAGGAUGCAAUGUAGGCUAUACAAAGGGACCAACUUAAAUCACAUUGGGGGCUCGUCCGGGAUUUCAAACUCUGUUCUGCUCGAACAGGACCCUGAUUGUAUAUGCCGUUGAUUCAUUGCAUGUUCUUGCUUGUAAAGUUUUCGUUGGUGUAACUUGCUGCUCGUGGUUCGUAAACUUUCCGUUUCACCGUGUUCGUGAAUUGACUGGUCACAAUUUGUGUAUUUCCAGUUGCCUUUAUUUGAUGGUGAAUGGCUCGAGUUUCAGACGCUACUAGAUUCGUCAGGCCAAUUGUUGGUCCGCAUGCUGCAUGGACAACCUACAUUGGACGCACCGUCGAGGUCGCCAUCUCUUGAAGUUCAUUUGAUUCAGGUUAGUCUUGCUUGCUUCUGUGGGUCUACUUACUUUGCCUUCUGGCGAUACGCUAUUCGGUCGUAUGCCUCGUAAAUUAAUUCGUUCGCAUCGUUGGCAUGACAGCAAAUGGCUACCUAACUUCAUAGGAGGUAUAAAUGAAUGUCCUGAUAUGCGCCAUUGAUUACAUCCAUUCGAUUCCUUAGACUUGAAAAUAUGUUUGGAUGAUACAGGACUUGGUAUUCUUGAACUUUAUUAAGAAGUUGCCCGUAUAAGGUGCUCAUAUAAUGCCGACUUGGUGUUCUUGAGCUGGUCCAUAGGUUUGAUCUGAUAACUUCGACUUGGUGUUAUUGAGAUUUGUCUUGACCUUUAAUGCUCAGAUGUUACUGACUUGGCUUUAGGGAGCCAACACUGACUUCGUUGUCAUGACACGUUCUGAUGAUACCGACUUGGUGUCAUUGAACUUUGGGGUAGUUGCCAUAGGACGUCAGUGACCAGGUGCAUGGCAGCACAGUGGUCAGCUAGCGUGUUCGGGGCAAUAACCAUCCACAGAUAAAACAUCGCGAGUUCGAUCAUCUGAUCGCCAAACCGGAUAUGCGAUUUGAUCAGUGUUUUCAAGAUCGCGGAAGUAUCCCAUGAUCAAGGUUUCCGGAGUUCAGAGGUCCGCUGACAUAACCUUACAUGGCCCUGACACAUUCCGAAGUGUCAUUGUGACUGAGUGGAUUGAUGCCUCGCUGACAUGAUUAGUUAUUCUUUUGUGGUUUUACUUGUUGUUUGGGUUUAAUUGUUGUUUCAUGGAGUUGUUUCAUGGCUGAGUUGUUGACAAGGUUCAGUGGAAUAAGAUCGGUUCAAUGUUUCACAGUUUGAGAUGUCAUUUAUUUGUGAGAGUACAACGUCGUUUACAUCUAUUCAGUUAUUACACAGGAAUUUCAACAUUUCAGAGCAUGUGGCAGGUUUCCGGCAAGUCGAAUUCGGGUGAAGUAAUUCUCUCUGUGUUAGACACUUUGCCCUAGUUGAUAGGUAAAUUUCGUAUUAAUUAGUCAUUAAUGGUUAACAUUGGAUGGCAAUAUACUUUUAACUUUGCUUCGGUUCAAACAGACAGUCAUCUCAUCAGUCAGUUGAGGGUUGUGAUUUGUGAAGAUAAUCCCAGUCAACAUUGGUGAUACUCCCGUCCAGUUGGGAAGUAUUUGACAGAAUGGUAAACGCAUUUGUUAUUUGGCGGGUGAUGUGCUGGGCCAGAAAUGUGGUUUCCGUUUAUUGAGUAGGUCGUGCCGUCUGCCUACGUCCCUGAGAGAAGGGCGAGUGCUAGGUAGGACGUGCAGCCUACAGACGUCUCUUGGAGGAGGACGUCACCGGACCGUCUGCUCGCGUGGAGCAGGACGGCAGUCGCUGCCCGGACGCGUAGGAGCUGAGGAGAACUGGUGAUAGGGCCUGCCCCACCUAUCUACCAGAGUGAGUAGCAUGGCAGAGGGUGGUCCUCUGGGGGUCCAUGCCCACCGAACAUACACCGGCCGGGUAUGGGUGGAAUUCUCGGUCAGCUUACGCUCUAGGCAUAAGGGCUGGGCGUGCAGUGACGGGAGCAGCAGGUCACUGGCACAAGCGACAAUCCAUGCUGAGGAGGUGUUCCUAGUAUGUGAAAAACGGAACCAUUUGAGCGUGUAAGGCGGCAAACCCCACCGCAAAUACACUGCUACCGGAGUAUAAAGAGUCGAACACUCCGGCGACUACAAGAGAGAGGCCAGCAGCAAACCCGACUAACAGCUUAUAUGUUUCAGAAGGUGACGUCGAUAGGAAAGGUGUCUUAUUGGGUGAUGACGACUCGAUUGCUCGACUUUGUUACACAGGUGCUGCAGGUACAGCAAACCUGACCAGUAGCUUUAUUGUUUCAGAAGAUGACAUCGAUAGGAAAGGUGUCUUAGGAUGAUGACUCGGUUGCUUUGCUUCAUUUGCACAGGUGUUGCAGAAGCAGCAAACCGAUCGACAGUUUACUUGUUUCAGAAGUUGACUGCAGCGUCGAUAAGAAAGGUGACUCGUUUGCUGUGCUUCGUUGCACAGAUGUUGCAGAAACAGCAAACCCGACAAACGGCUGAUAUGUGAGUACACUUCAGGUGACUGCAGAGGGAAAGACAGUGGUUAAGGGGGAAAGUGGUUUUCGUCUCGUUUUAUCUCCAUUCCAUGGCAGGAGGUAAGACGACUCGAAUCCUUGCUUAGUUGCACUUCGCAAGUCAUAGCAAGUGCAGAACUCUUCAGGAGCCCAGUCCAUGGCUCAUCUUAAAGGUGGAAGAUAUACUUAUACGCUUCAUGUCCUUAUUCAUCGAAAAUGAAUUCGUGGGUCUUGCGGUCGAGAUACCGUGGCAAAGACAAAUAACAAUUCGGCCCAACAGCAGUCACAACGUGAGCUGACUGAAGCCGAAAGGUUUCGAUUUCAGCGCAGGUACGAGGUACGAGACGUCCCGAGAAGUUCUGGCCGGUAGAGCUAAACCGAGUAGCACCGCAACGGUAAAGUAAAAAUCAAUGAAAUGCUGGCUUGGUUGCAUUGUCUCGAAUUAGCGAAUAACAAGUAUGUUAACGGCAUGUUAACGGUUUUAAGCAAGGUUCUGGAGUAACAUCAACUGUGCAAACUGACCACGCCGUUUCCUGUGUAACGUGAAGCCUAUGCAGUUAAGAUCUGCAAUCCUAGAUAACUCGUUCAGCACUCGUUUGAAUUAUUGACAAUCCUAAGUCUGAACGAUGAGCCCACGUCUUGUUUCAUGAAAGGUGUACCUACCAGCUGUUGUGGCUAACUUUCGUUGUAUUGUCUGCAACAGACACCACACCGAGUGGAGGUCCUGAUGGAUUUAGCCGACCCUGUAUGGAGCGCCACCGACUCGUGAGUGACCAGCGACGGUGAUGUCGGGUCACGAACAAAGUAAGGACAACCUUUGAGAUCGAAAGAUCAAAAGCCAACGGGCAUGUGCUCACUUGUUAAAGUAAAGCAGAUGAGUUUGCUACAAUCUACUUCAGAGUAUGCAUGAAGGUCGUGACAAGGGUCAGUUGGUGCUUGAGGUACAAGUUAUGGUGGAGCAACAAUCCUGUGCAUUGCCUUGAAUCUAGAUCCAGCGACAAUCAAUGGAUCUGUGCAGACCAAAGAUGCGCGGGCAUAGAACCGGCAUAGUCAUAGGACAAAUUGCUCGUGUGAUACGAUGCUUGCGUCGUCUGGUGCCUCUCAAUGUCCUCAAGUCAUUGGCGCCAGCAGCAGAGCGAGUCCUACACAGGUAUCUGAGAUACCAGAAGGUCUACAGGCACAACGAACCUCUCGGCAUGACAGAUUGACUUCAACCCUAACACCUCACCCGAGCCCUUAGGUCCCACGUCUCGAUGCUGACUGCUGCCAGAAGUCUGAGCCGCAUCCUUCUGUUAUGACAGAGGCAAACGAUCACUCGCCCUUUGACUGUAACUUAUCUUCCUCCAUGCGUGGCAAUUCAGAGCAGACGGAUGGACACAUCACGCUAACGCUCGGGAAUUUUAAAGUCCAAGCCCGCAUUGGGAAUUGUUAACAUGAGUACCUUUCAUAUUACAUGGCGUGUUCCUCUGCUAAUCCUUUUCGGUUAACCCCGAUAUUCCUUAUCCUUGAAACUGUCACAGGUCAGUAGCAAGAAGAUGUGGUUCCCAGAAUAGCAUAAAUGUAAAUAUGCUUUGGUUGCUUUACCAGUAUUUGGCAUCAAGCAGCAGUACCAAUUUGCAGUGCUUGGGUUAUUGAAGCCAUACGAUCUGAUGAAGUUAUGAUCAAUUAAGAUUCAAGCUACUUAGUACUUUGUAUUUUGUACUAAAGUCAUAUUUUUAGGAAGAUACAAAACGGUUUAAGACAGAGGGUUUGUCGCAUUUGACUUAUCAACGAGUCAAACUCAAUUUAGACUGUGAACCAUCUAACUAUUACGUAUGUGUACCCGUUCAUCCCCAAAGGUUACAGUUCUUCGUUCGCUAUAAAAAUGGAAGGGAUGUGAGAAAUAGUUUUGGUGAGUAUUUUCUAUCCGACCAGUGGCUUCUAUCCGAACAGUGGAAGCUGGACAGCCACGGCUGACUGUUGUUCUGUUGGCGGGCCAGCGCCGCCUCCCACCGGCCACCAUACGAUGACGGCCGCCGGAGACCGAGCACCGGUACCACCGGACAAAAAGUGGAAUCGGCAAGGCCGGGCUAGCGACUGUCUGCAGAUCGGCAGAGAAGAGCUGAGCUGCACCUACGCUGCAGGGCAACUACCGACUGCAGUGGCUUUACCUGUUUUUGUGUGACCAGCGAGGAAUAAAACGGGCGCGAGACGGAGCAGCGAGACACUCCUCACACAGUCCACACCACGUUCGACAACACCCACUCUGCAACACUCCACUCAACAUGCACAAGUAAGUACCUACGUAAGAAUGACUCAGACCGGACGGUCUGCCCCAGCCAGCUCUCUUGGAGCUGUGCUGUGGGGACAAGGUGACGUGACGUCUUCUAGGAAGUCCGUUUAACUUGCCGAACUAUUCGGUAUAUGGUUGAACUGUUUGUUUUGUCUUUCGGCUAACCAUUCGGUUAUCUCUUUCGGCCUUUUUUUUGGUGACCGUUGACCGCCGUUGUCCGGUCUCACUGCGCUGUUUGUGUUUCAGCCUGCCCGCCAUCAUGACGCUGACCAGGGAGCCGAUUGGCUCGGCUUGGCGGCAGCAGGCUGUUCUUUCGGCACUCUUCCGGCCUCUCCAAUAUCGGCACACUCGAGUGCGAUAGCAACUCGAGUGGGACUGAUUUUCGGUCUUCUUUCGACACUCUUCCGUCUUCUUCGAUAUCAGCCUGUGCUAAUGCAACGGCUAUUCGUGCAGGACUGAUUUUCGGCCUUGUCUCGUUUAAUGACUCGAUCGCUUCCUUUUGACAUUUUGGUUUCGACCUCAUCUUUUGGCUCAUUUCAAUAUAUCUACUUUUAACUCA
rnacentral:lncRNA from 1 species